CGCGGUAAGACGUAGGGGGCAAGCGUUGUCCGGGAAUUACUGGGCGUAAAGGGCGUGUAGGCGGUGCUUCACGUAGCGGUUUUCAGCCGUCGGCCCACCCGACGGAGGGCGGCUAAACGGGAGCGCUGGAGGGCAGGAGAGGUGCACGGAAUUCCUGGUGGAGCGGUGAAAUGCGUAGAGAUCAGGAAGAACACCCGUGGCGAAGGCGGUGCACUGGCCUGGCCCUGACGCUGAGGCGCGACAGCGUGGGGAGCGAACGGGAUUAGAUACCCCGGUAGUCCACGCCGUAAACGAUGGAUACUAGGUGUCGCGGGGGUCCACCCGGCGGUGCCGGAGCUAACGCACUAAGUAUCCCGCCUGGGGAGUACGGCCGCAAGGUUGAAACUCAAAGGAAUUGACGGGGGCCCGCACAAGCAGUGGAGCAUGUGGUUUAAUUCGACGCAACGCGCAGAACCUUACCAGGACUAGACGGGAUCGUGAGCGCCGCGAAAGCGGCGGGCCCUUCGGGGAGCGAUCGUCAGGUGCUGCAUGGUUGUCGUCAGCUCGUGUCGUGAGAUGUUGGGUUAAGUCCCGCAACGAGCGCAACCCUCGUCGCGUGUUGCCAGCGGUUCGGCCGGGCACUCACGCGAGACUGCCGGUGACAAACCGGAGGAAGGUGGGGAUGACGUCAAAUCCGCAUGGCCUUUAUGUCCUGGGCCACACACGUGCUACAAUGGCGCCGACAACGGGCCGCGACCUCGCGAGGGGCAGCGAAUCCUUCAAACGGCGUCUCAGUUCGGAUUGCAGGCUGCAACCCGCCUGCAUGAAGCCGGAAUUGCUAGUAAUCGCGGAUCAGCAUGCCGCGGUGAAUUCGUUCCCGGGCCUUGUACACACCGCCCGUCACACCACGAGAGUUGGCCACACCCGAAGC
rnacentral:rRNA from 1 species